GUAAAGUAUUCUUUAUAGCCAAAUAAAUAAAUAAAUAAAAGAAAAAAGUUUAUUCAAACCUAAAACCUAACUUCCAUUAUAAGGGCUUAAAAGUAAAAGUUAAAGGACACCAUCAGGAAACAAUCGGGCAAGCCAGGGAUGUGUGACCUUCUCUAAGACAGCUGGCCCAGAUUCCUCAAGUCAAUGUCGUAAAUCAAAACCAAACAGAAGUUAAGGUGGGGGAGAUUUUCCAGAUUAGCCUCCAGAUGGAAUCCAUAAGCCUUGAUUAGCUCUCGGGGGAAACUGCAUACAAACAUUUAAGGUACAAUUGCAAAAAUUUUAAAAUGACUUGGAUAUUAGUUGUGAUUGUAGAAUCAUUGUUAAGUUUCCUAGGUAUGAUAGUGGUAUUGCGGUUAUACAGGAGAUUUUCUUUAUUCUUAGGAGAUUCAUAUUGAAGCACUUACGGAUCAUGAUGCCAUACUGACAACUUAUUUUCAAAAAUGGAUAAUCAGCAAGUAAUACAGAGAGCUGCUUCCUUCAACAGCUGCAUUCAGCACAAAACCGAGGGCCGAUUAUGUGGAGAAAUAUCCUUCAGAGGCUGGUGGAGGCCGCUCUGCUUCAAGCUGUGAGCCGAGUCAGGGCUGCUUCACUUGUCUCUCAUCCUCUGGACCAGUGACCACCUGGGGUGGCAACAGGGCCAGAGGACGAGCAGAGACACAAGAGGCCUCCUAAGGCCUCAGCUCAGAACUAACAAACUCGCUUCUGCCCACAUUCCAUUGGCCAAAGCCCUGCAUGAGUUGUGGAAAAGUACUCUCCACUUUGGUGAACAUUAGUAAGAGAAAAGAGGGAAGGAAGAAUUGCAGGCAAGUAAUACCAUCUACCUCGGCCUCCUAUGCAGCUUGGUGUGUACCUGCACCUAAGUUCUGGCCUGUAGGAUAUGAGGGGAAGUGAGGUGUGCAACUCCAGGACCUGCCCCUGUAAAGACUGGGCCCUGCCUUUCCCCUGCCCAUCUGCUGGGGACAUGGUAGGACUGCAGCAGUUGCCUGGCCCAGAGAUAGACGGCACAGCUAUCCUGCUGGUCCUACCUCUAGACCGCCACAUGUACCUCACUUACACUGCUUGGGUUUUGCAUCUUAAAACCCCAAUUAGCACACCAUUCAUUCAUUCAUUCCCCCAUCAACAAGUAUGUACUGAGUGUCUUUUUGCCAGGCAUUGCACUAGGUUUUGGAGAGAUGACAGUGAACAAAAACAAACUUGGCUGUUCUGUAUCUUGGCUGUGGCAGUGGUUACACAAGCCUACACAUGUGAUAAAACUGCAUAGAACUAAAUACACACACACAGAGGAAUGCCAGUCAAACUGGGAAUUAAAGAAUCAAAAAGUCACUGGUGACUCAACAUGGCAGCAGUCCAGCUCAACCAUACAGAUGACAGCAGUGUGCUGAAGUAUGACAAAGGAAUGAUUUAAAAGGAAUUGAGGCAGAGCUGCCAGGCAGGCAUGCUCACCUUGGACUUUGAAGCAAGAGAGACAUAAAUAAAGGUCUUUGUUCUGUAAGUAGAGUGUUCAUAUAAUUUAUCAUCCAAACUGAGACACCUGUGAAAAUAAUUACACUGGAACAACUUGUGUGACUGAUCAGCUGGUCACUCCAUCUUUAAGUCAUUGUCUUGUUGAGUCUGUUAUCAGAGCCCAUGGAGUGCCAUGCAUGGACAGCUUAUUUAGGCACAACAGAGAAAAAUUAAAGGGAAGGAGGAGCAAGGAAGAGUGGAAAGGAUAAAGAAAUGGUGAGCAUUGGCAGGAAACAAUGCAAGGAGAAAAGGGAACAGGAAUCGGAUUUUCUACUAAUUUGCUGUGUGUUCCUGUGUCAGUUUAUAAAUUAGUGUCUAUAUUUACAACCGAUUGGAAGAACGAACUUUUUAGAUCCUCUCAUCCAACAAAGCUGCAGAUUUCUUUAUUGAGAUGGAGUUGAGAAAGCUUUAAAACAGGCCAAAGCAACAUGAGGACAUGUGUCAUGAGAAGAGAAAUGGUCUUCCAUAAAUUGAGUGCUGGGGAAGGCUUGGUGUAGGUAAUGUAGAGGUUCUCAAACUGUGGAGAAGCUCAAAAUGUGUUCCUUUGAGCCUUGGUCUUCUAGUUAGGCCACUGUCUAAGCCACUAUACAAAAAGACACCAAACACACUGGCUUCAACAAGACAAGCCUCUGUUUCUCUUUCGGGUGACAGGAGAAGCAGAGGACUAAGCUUUCUUUUCCAAGUCAUCACCUGAAAGUUGCCCCUUCACUUCUGCUCACAUUGCAUUGGCCAGAGACUUGAAAGGAAGCUGGGCACGUGCUGUGGGGAAAAGAAAGAGAGAUCAGAUUGUUACUGUGUCUGUAUAGAAAGAAGUAGACGUAGGAGACUCCAUUCUGUUCUGUACUAAGAAAAAUUCUGCCUUGAGAUUCUGUUAAUCUGUGACCUUACCCCCAACCCU
rnacentral:lncRNA from 1 species